GACGAACGCUGGCGGCGUGCUUAACACAUGCGAGUGAACGGAAAGGCCCUGCUUUUUUUUGGUGCUCGAUUGGCGAACGGCUGAUUAACACGUGAGUAACCUGCCCUUUACUUUAGUAUAAUUUCUUGAAACUGGGGCUAAUACCGGAUAGGAGCUUCUUCUGCCUGGUGGUGCUUUGAAAGUUUCGGCGGUUGGUGAUGGUCGCGCGGCUUAUCGGCUUGUUGGUGGGGUAGUGUCUUACCACGGCUUUGCCGGGUAGCCGUCCUGAGCGGGUGGACGGGCACAUUGGGACUACGAUACGGACCAGACUCCUACGGGAGGCAGCAGUGGGGAAUAUUGCACAAUGGGCGGAAGCCUGAGGCAGCAACGCCGCGUGCGGGAUGACGGCCUUCGGGUUGUAAACCGCUUUCGCCUGUGACGAAGCGUGAGUGACGGUAAUGGGUAAAGAAGCACCGGCUAACUACGUG
rnacentral:rRNA from 1 species